rnacentral:lncRNA from 11 species
AUGACAUGCCUCAAAGAGGAGCUCCAGGUGCAGUGCCUGAAGCACCUUCCCCUUUUCUUUGACUCAGCGCUAAGAUUACUGCAUGACACAAAUCUAAUGUGCAUCCCAAUUUUGGCAAGGUCAUUUAGCCAAAAAAGGCAUCAAGAGCAGGUUUUGGGUGCACUGGGAUCUAGAUGAAGUACAUUAUUGGAUGAUCCUGGUCUGCAACUGUCUGCAGAUUAUACAUGUUGCAGAAGAAAUCUCUCUAUCAUGCGUCCUCAUGGUUAGUUCUCUUAUUUUUUAAAAAACAACAUCCCUAAAAUAGUAGUUAUUU